rnacentral:rRNA from 1 species
CAGCAGCCGCGGUAAUACGGAGGAUCCAAGCGUUAUCCGGAAUCAUUGGGUUUAAAGGGUCCGUAGGCGGUCUUGUAAGUCAGUGGUGAAAGCCCAUCGCUCAACGGUGGAACGGCCAUUGAUACUGCAGGACUUGAAUUAUUGGGAAGUAACUAGAAUAUGUAGUGUAGCGGUGAAAUGCUUAGAGAUUACAUGGAAUACCAAUUGCGAAGGCAGGUUACUACCAAUUGAUUGACGCUGAUGGACGAAAGCGUGGGUAGCGAACAGGAUUAGAGACCCGAGUAGUCCCUGUCUCUUAUAA